GGGGAUUCUUAUGAUGAGGCACAGGCAUAUGCUAAGAAAAGGGCUAACGAGGAGAGUCGAACAUUCAUACCUCCUUUUGAUCACCCAGAUGUUAUAAUGGGACAGGGAACAGUUGGGAUGGAAAUUAUGCGUCAAAUGCAAUCCCCAGUGCACGCAAUCUUUUUGUGCCUGUGGGGGGUGGUGGGCUAAUAGCUGGUAUUGCUGCCUAUGUAAAGAGGGUUAAUCCUGAGGUAAAGAUAAUUGGGGUGGAACCCUGUGAUGCAAAUGCAAUGGCAUUGUCCCUGCAUCACGGUGAGAGAGUGAUGUUGGACCAGGUUGGAGGUUUUGCAGAUGGUGUGGCUGUUAAAGA
rnacentral:misc_RNA from 1 species